AUGAUCCCCAAAAUAGUUUGGCGAUGGAGAUUAGGCACUUCAGGCCUAUCACGUCACGGUUAUCAACGUGCUCGAGCGCAUUUUCUUCAAAGUCUGCGCGACUCGUCGAAUGCCGGUGGCCGCGCAAACCCCCUCGAGUCGACAUUCUUGAAGGGACGACGGAAUCAUGAUGGGAUCCUGGCCCUUCACGACAUUUUCCAUGAUGUGCGGAUGCGCGGCCAUAAGGGCAUCUUCCUCAAGCUGGAUUUCCAGAAAGCCUAUGAUCGACUGGAUUGGAACUUCUUGCGGUUAGUUCUGGAGCGUCGGGGCUUUGAGGACAGAUGGUGCAACUAG
rnacentral:rRNA from 1 species